UUUUGCUUUCUCUCCGUGACACUACUGACACCACCUCUCAUCCUCCGAGGACGCAGGCAGUGGAAUCCGUGAACAACAUCACAUUCUAUGGGUAAGGUUCGUCUACAGUGCUAAUUUUGUUUCAGUUUCAUCCUUUUGGUGAGGGUUUGACCAGCAAGAAGAUAACGAGUUUUGGAGAUGGAACAUUUCAGAGUCUUGAUCACUCCGCCUGCGCCUCGCCCUGUCCCUUGACCCAUGGAGAGAGCCGUGAGUCCGAGUCCUGCCGACACUCGUCGCAGCUGUGAUGAUAUUCUCGGCGGUUUAGUAUGUGUUUUGCCGGUGAUCGAGGUGACCGGUGUAUGUGUCUGUAUAAAUGUGUGAUACAUUUUUGUUUAUGUGUGGAUAUGGUUGUUUAUGUGUGUGUAUGGAUAUGUGAUACAUUUUGUCGAUGUAUAGAUAUGGAUAUGCCGGUGUAUGAUGACAUAUUGACUAUGUAUGUGUGAUUUUA